GGAUUGAUCUCACAGAAGAUGAACUCUUACAUCUGCAGGAGACCCUUCCAGUUGAUGAUGCUGGGAUGAUAUUUCAGAAUAGAUUGUUGAAUGAAGUAAAGUCUUUCAAAGGAGGAAACAUUAAUGUCAAUAGCAUAGACACUGUCCUGGAAAAUAUGAAGAUAAAUCUCACAGAGCCAGAGCUUCAAGGUCUGACAGAAAACCUACC